UAAUACGUAGGGGGCGAGCGUUGUCCGGAUUUAUUGGGCGUAAAGAGCUCGUAGGCGGUUUGGCAAGUCGGGUGUGAAAACUCCGGGCUCAACUCGGAGACGCCACUCGAUACUGCCAUGACUCGAGUCCGGUAGGGGAGUGCGGAAUUCCUGGUGUAGCGGUGAAAUGCGCAGAUAUCAGGAGGAACACCGGUGGCGAAGGCGGCACUCUGGGCCGGUACUGACGC
rnacentral:rRNA from 1 species